GUAGGAUCCGAGCGUUAUCCGAAUUUACUGGGCGUAAAGCGCGUGUAGGCGGCUGGGUAAGUUGGACGUGAAAGCUCCUGGCUCAACUAGGAGAGGUCGUUCAAAACUGCCUGGCUAGAGGGCGACAGAGGGAGGUGGAAUUCCCGGUGUAGUGGUGAAAUGCGUAGAUAUCGGGAGGAACACCAGUGGCGAAGGCGGCCUCCUGGGUCGCACCUGACGCUCAGACGCGAAAGCUAGGGGAGCAAACGGGGAUUAGAUACCCCGGUAGUCCUAGCUGUAAACGAUGUGGACUUGGCGUUGGUGGGUCAAAUCCAUCAGUGCCGGAGCUAACGCGAUAAGUCCACCGCCUGGGGACUACGGUCGCAAGGCUA
rnacentral:rRNA from 1 species